rnacentral:rRNA from 1 species
ACGGGUGAGUAAUGCCUAGGAAUCUGCCUGGUAGUGGGGGAUAACGUUCGGAAACGGACGCUAAUACCGCAUACGUCCUACGGGAGAAAGCAGGGGACCUUCGGGCCUUGCGCUAUCAGAUGAGCCUAGGUCGGAUUAGCUAGUUGGUGAGGUAAUGGCUCACCAAGGCGACGAUCCGUAACUGGUCUGAGAGGAUGAUCAGUCACACUGGAACUGAGACACGGUCCAGACUCCUACGGGAGGCAGCAGUGGGGAAUAUUGGACAAUGGGCGAAAGCCUGAUCCAGCCAUGCCGCGUGUGUGAAGAAGGUCUUCGGAUUGUAAAGCACUUUAAGUUGGGAGGAAGAGCAGUUACCUAAUACGUGAUUGUUUUGACGUUACCGACAGAAUAAGCACCGGCUAACUCUGUGCCAGCAGCCGCGGUAAUACAGAGGGUGCAAGCGUUAAUCGGAAUUACUGGGCGUAAAGCGCGCGUAGGUGGUUUGUUAAGUUGGAUGUGAAAUCCCCGGGCUCAACCUGGGAACUGCAUUCAAAACUGACUGACUAGAGUAUGGUAGAGGGUGGUGGAAUUUCCUGUGUAGCGGUG